AAUUGAAUACAUUGAAAAUCUAAUGCUCAGGCUUAUAGUCUUGCAUAUGUUUAUUACAGUAUCAAUGCAAAAGGCGACAAUUCGAGCUCGACUAAUGGAGGAAACAAUGAUGAUUCGCCUCUCGGGAUAUUACCUCAUCAGAUUCGUGGUUCAGUUUCUCAGUUCUCAAAGAUCACCCUGCUUGGGCAAGCUUCCGACAGCUGUACCGCUUGCUCUGAAACCGUAAGUCUCUACAUUGAAAUCUUUUCUAGCAGAACCAAGCUCACGCAAAGCUCAUAACGUUUUUUAACAUUUGUAUUCAGGUGAUAUCGGCGUAUCGAGAGAGAGGAAACAGGUUCAUACUUGAAGCGUUUAACCAUCCUACACACCACAGCCCAAUCACCAAAAAAGACACGAGAUGUUUUCCUAGUAAUGUUGUACGAGCAUUGCCAUCUCUUAACAUAAACGUUUUGUCCUCUGUCAAAUGCCUUCUUCUUGGAGCUGGUACAUUGGGCUGUCAAGUUGCUCGUACCCUUAUGGUAUGUAUCGAAGAGAGUUUCAGAUGAAACAAUUCUACAAACUCACUGAUUAAAUAAAGUCUUCUCUAUCUUUCGUUCUUUAGGAUUGGGGAAUCCGCAAUAUCACCUUUGUUGACUAUGGCAAAGUAGCUAUGUCUAAUCCCGUCAGACAAUCUCUCUACACUUUUGAAGAUUGUAGCGAGUUUAAAGCUGUUGCUGCUGUUAAAAGCCUUAAACAGAUAUUUCCAGCAAUGGAAUCUAGUGGAGUUGUUAUGGCUAUACCGAUGCCCGGACAUCCCAUCUCUCAUAAAGAUGAGGAUUCUGUUCUCGCAGAUUGUAAACGUCUUAGCGAGUUGAUUGAAUCUCAUGAUGCCGUGUUCUUGUUAACCGACACAAGAGAAAGCCGGUGGUUACCUUCUCUUCUUUGUGCUAGUGCCAAUAAGGUAACUAAACUCUGUUUCUUUCUUUCUGUCUUGCUGGUUAUAUAAGUAUAAGUAACAAUUUGCGUGAUAUGUCGGUGUUUGAUUUGAAUUUCAGAUCGCUAUAAAUGCAGCUUUAGGUUUCGACAGCUACAUGGUAAUGCGCCAUGGCGCUGGCCCCAUCUCCCUGUCUGAUGAUACGCAGAAUCUUGACAUGAAUAAGACAAACAAACAGAGACUUGGAUGUUACUUUUGCAACGACGUGGUUGCACCUCAGGAUGUAAUUCCCUGGCUUCUUCGGUUUUAAUUUUGUCUUUUGUUUUGUGUUACUUCUGGUUCAUUUCUGAUUCGUCGUGACCGGUUGUUUUCUUUCUUUUAUUGCAGUCAAUGACUGAUCGAACUCUUGACCAACAAUGCACUGUUACACGUCCAGGUCUAGCUCCUAUUGCAGGAGCUCUUGCUGUUGAACUCUUAGUAAAAGUCCUACAACACCCACUUGGGUAAGUCUUUUACAAAUCAAAUACAUUGAAAAUUCAAUCCUCAGGCUCAUUUCGUCUUACAUAUGUUUACUACAGUAUCAAUGCAAAAGGCGAAAAUUCGAGCGCAAGUAGUGGAGGACACAAUGAUGAUUCGCCUCUCGGGAUAUUACCUCAUCAGAUCCGAGGCUCAGUUUCUCAGUGCUCACAGAUCACACUGCUUGGGCAAGCUUCCGAAAGCUGUACCGCUUGCUCUGAAACCGUAAGUUUCCACAUGACAACUUCUUUAACAGAAUCAAGCUCUCGCGAAGCAGCUC
rnacentral:lncRNA from 1 species